rnacentral:rRNA from 1 species
AUGCACGCUGGCGGCGUGCCUAAUACAUGCAAGUCGAGCGAACAGACGAGGAGCUUGCUCCUCUGACGUUAGCGGCGGACGGGUGAGUAACACGUGGAUAACCUACCUAUAAGACUGGGAUAACUUCGGGAAACCGGAGCUAAUACCGGAUAAUAUAUUGAACCGCAUGGUCCAAUAGUGAAAGACGGUUUUGCUGUCACUUAUAGAUGGAUCCGCGCCGCAUUAGCUAGUUGGUAAGGUAACGGCUUACCAAGGCAACGAUGCGUAGCCGACCUGAGAGGGUGAUCGGCCACACUGGAACUGAGACACGGUCCAGACUCCUACGGGAGGCAGCAGUAGGGAAUCUUCCGCAAUGGGCGAAAGCCUGACGGAGCAACGCCGCGUGAGUGAUGAAGGUCUUCGGAUCGUAAAACUUUGUUAUUAGGGAAGAACAAAUGUGUAAGUAACUAUGCACGUCUUGACGGUACCUAAUCAGAAAGCCACGGCUAACUACGUG